UGGACGCUGGCGGCAGGCCUAAUACAUGCAAGUCGAACGGCUCUUCGGAGCAGUGGCGGACGGGUGAGUAACGCGUGGGAAUGUGCCCUUUGGUACGGAACAACACAGGGAAACUUGUGCUAAUACCGUAUGUGCCCUUCGGGGGAAAGAUUUAUCGCCAUUGGAGCAGCCCGCGUUGGAUUAGGUAGUUGGUGAGGUAAAGGCUCACCAAGCCUACGAUCCAUAGCUGGUCUGAGAGGAUGACCAGCCACACUGGGACUGAGACACGGCCCAGACUCCUACGGGAGGCAGCAGUAGGGAAUCUUGCGCAAUGGGCGAAAGCCUGACGCAGCCAUGCCGCGUGUAUGAUGAAGGUCUUAGGAUUGUAAAAUACUUUCACCGGGGAAGAUAAUGACGGUACCCGGAGAAGAAGCACCGGCUAACUACGUGCCAGCCGCCGCAGUAACAC
rnacentral:rRNA from 1 species